rnacentral:rRNA from 1 species
CUAAGAAUCUUCCGCAAUGGGCGAAAGCCUGACGGAGCGAUGCCGCGUGAUCGAUGAAGGUCGAGAGAUUGUAAAGAUCUUUUCCAACCGAGGAAUAAGUGGACCAGGGAAUGGGUUCAUGAUGACGUUAAGUUGGGAAUAAGCCCCGGCUAAUUACGUGCCAGCAGCCGCGGUAACACGUAAGGGGCGAGCGUUGUUCGGAAUUAUUGGGCGUAAAGGGCACGCAGGCGGUUUUACAAGUCCGAUGUUAAAGACCUGGGCUUAACUCAGGGAAUGCGUUGGAAACUGUAAGACUAGAAUCUUGGAGGGGGAGUCGGAAUUCCUAGUGUAGGGGUGAAAUCUGUUGAUAUUAGGAAGAACACCGGUGGCGAAGGCGGACUCCUGGCCGAAGAUUGACGCU